rnacentral:lncRNA from 1 species
AUUUUAUUUUAUUUUUUUCCAGGUCUAAAGUUUAAUGAUAACAGUACAGGUAUCCCUUCCACAUUGUGACUUUCUCCAUCACAGUUUUGAUAUAUUGCAGGUUAACAUAAGUAAAGAGUUAAAGUUUGCAAAAAGAACACAAAAGCCAGCAGAUGACACAUAAAGGAUAAAACCGUAAGUAUCUUAACAUUGAUCUACCUAUAUGUAUAUAGCCUAUGACCAAAUACUU